AUUUCCUAAGAUUCCGGCGGCAGCCACAGAAACUUAAGCAUGAUUCAAACUCCUCAAAUCUCUUCCAAGAUUGCAACUUAUUUCCUCCAAAUAACUCUGUAACUCUUCAAAACCUGUGACUUCACCAAGCUCUCGGCAGUACAGAAAUGGAAAAUGAGCAGUCUCCAGUCGUGCGGUUUGAAACUAAGGCGCUGCGCCUCCCUGGAUAAGUAUCAAGGUAACACAGUGGUGUAGGGCGGCGGCUCACUCAGUUGGAGGAAACCACACCUUCAAGCAACAUCCUCUCCUCGGAACGAGCUUUAAAGGUUUCACGAUGUUGGCCAGUUGAACUCCUGGCCUCAAGUGAUCCACCCACCUCAGCCUCUCAAAGUGCUGGGAUUAUAGGCAUGAACCACCGCACCCCCGGCCAUCCUUUCCUGGAGUGUUCUGCACUGAUCUUGCUGAUGCCCCUACAUGGAAGAGCUGCCAGUUUUCACACUAUUGUGACUAUAACUGGUUGCAUGGCUCCCUCCCCAGUGAACUGUUGAUGGAAUCCCUCCAGCCAUCUUUGAGCUCUUUCUUUGUCCGGAGAAGAGGCUGAUCCCUCCAGGGCUGAUCUACAUCUCCAGGAUAACCUCUGCUCCAGAGGGGCUGACGGGAGCCCAGCUUUUUAUUCUCUCGAGGUUCUUCCCAAGAAAAGCCCAAUCUUAUAAACUGUUACUUCCCCUAACAAAGAAAUACAGAUUAUCCAAGAAUCUAGCUUGCAGUUACUUGGUUUGUCUUCCAAGCUGGACCUACCCCUAAGCCCCACCUCAUCAGGGGGUGUAGACCAGCUCAACCUAAUGAAGUUUGUUGUUACUUAACCCUCCCCUUAACAUUCGACUUCCCAAUUAUAAUUGCACAAAAAAAUAUAUACACCUAUGCCUGUUGCAGUAUUAACCCCUCUCCCCCAAAGGUGGGGAGCUUGGCUUCCCAGUCAGCUGCUCUCUC
rnacentral:lncRNA from 1 species